AACUCUCAAGCUGCUGAAUGCGAACUGACUAAUCUGAAAUCAUCUGGAAGACAGUGGAGAUGUGAGGGAUCAAAGUCUGAUCAGAUACAUCAUGUGAUGUGGAUCCCUGUGCAAAAGCUGAAGUGCCCCACUGUCGAGAAAGUAAGGAAGCCACACGCUGAGAGAUCAUCUCAAUCUGGUCAUCAGCCAAUCUAAUCUCUGAGGUAUAUGCUCUGCUGUCUGGCUGCUGGACUGGAGUGUGCCUCCUAGUAGACUCUGAUGGGCCAGCCUCGGGAUCAGAAACGAACUGAAUGUCUGGAGAUGCUGCCCUGAUAUCAUGGAGAGGUGAUGCAGGACCUUCUUCCUCAGCUCUGUCCUCAACUCUCUCUUAUACACCUUUAGUCCAACCACCAUCUGUCUUAGUAAAUCCCAUGCGGUGCAAAGUAUGUUGGUUGAUGGUGUCAGAGUGAGAAAGCCUAGCUGCUGCCUCCCCCUCAAAACUAACUCCAAACCUCCUGAAUACCAAAGUGAGGGCCAUACCGAAAGGCAGAUGUGCCUUGGAUCUAUUCAGGGUUUCCCUCAUGGCUUCUAUCAUUAAUGCAGGGAGG
rnacentral:lncRNA from 1 species